UUCCAGAGGCCUUCUCUCCCAGUUGGAAUAGUUUUGGAAGGGAUUGCCAGCAAUUGCUGAAACCUCUCUGCCCUUGAAGCCAGCAAGUGGAAACGUUUCCGUUUCUCCUCUGGAUCUGACCCGAAGUCCCGGGACCCGAUGCCAUUCUGAAGAUUUAUUAGUGAAUCCUUCAUCUGCAAGACAAGAAGUUUCUCCCCUGUGACACUACCCUAGAGGAGCAGCUCGUCAGGGCUGGGAUGUACAAGUGGGGACUGAGAAGACAGGAGCCUGUGAGACCAUUCUCCAAGCCUGGUGUACAACCAGCUCUUUAGGCAGCAGGUACCGGAACCCCGGGAUUUGUGCUCCUCAGGGCUCACACUAAGCGUGUGCUCUUCAUCCACACCAGCUCUUAUGAAAUGAGGGUGAAGGUAAAAAAGUUUGCUUUCCAAACUGAGAUGGCAGAGACUAGAUAUAAGGUGUGCUAAUACAAGGGGUUGGCCCUGUAGGUUUCUCUCCCUGAUGAGCCCUGUGAGGUGACAGAGAAGCUGUAGCCUGCAAGCAGCCCUUGGGAUCUGCUGCCCACCACUGCAUCAGAGGAGGGAUCUGACAGCAGCAGAGGUGACACACCUGGCAGACUGCCGUGGAACCAGUGCAGCUGUUUCACUGGAAGAAUGGCCCACUAUCACCCAGUUGAGUCAGGAGGAUGGCAACUGGCCAGAAGAGGAUGCUGAAAACACCAUGGAGGACUCUCUCAGCUAAGCUAGCAGCCAGUCAGAACAGACGUAAUGAAGUUUUUGUGCCUUCCUGCCCCAAGUUUUAAUUGCAUCUCACCUGUCUAGAUCUGGGUGAUAGCACCAGGCUCUCUUCUCAUUGCAUUGCUUUCCAUUACCUUCCUGCUCAUUACAGCAACUAGCUGGGCUGCUGCAGCAAACCUCUGCAAACCUUAUCGUCACUGGGAAAAGCAAAUGCAGAAAUGGGCUCAAUUUGAAAAGGAAGCUCAGUCUACAAAUCUCAGCUUCAUCCCACCUCGCUGAAAGAAAGCAUUUCUGAAUGAUCCAGUUUCUUUCUGAGGUGGUAUCUCAUCAAAAUCACCACCCAGGACCAACCCAAAAAGGAUCUGUCAGACCAGAGGAAAGAAGUAGCAGACUCCUCACGUGCCCUGAGCCAUGUGUGAUGGCACAGUGACUCCCAGAGAGCUUCCAUGGUCAUCUUUCUUGAGAACAGGUACUUUGUCAGCAGAUUAUAUUAAAUUACUUAUUUUAAAUAAAAAAUAAAAUAAAUAAAUAAAAA